UCCUAUUUUCAGUUGGUUUUGGCAGCGCGAGGACUAGGGUAAUGAUUAAUAGGGAUAGUUGGGGGCAUUAAUAUUUAAUUGUCAGAGGUGAAAUUCUUGGAUUUAUGAAAGAUUAACUUCUGCGAAAGCAUCUGCCAAGGAUGUUUUCAUUAAUCAAGAACGAAAGUUAGGGGAUCGAAGACGAUCAGAUACCGUCGUAGUCUUAACCAUAAACGAUGCCGACCAGCGAUUAGGAGACGUUGAAUACAAAACACCACCAUCGGUUGCGGUCGUCCUUGGCGUCUCGGUUUCGGCCGGGGCGCGGGGAUGGCUUAGCCCGGUGGCACCGGUGAAUGACUCCCCUAGCAGCUUGUGAAA
rnacentral:rRNA from 1 species